rnacentral:rRNA from 1 species
UACGGAGGGUGCAAGCGUUAAUCGGAAUUACUGGGCGUAAAGCGUACGUAGGCGGCUUGUUAAGCAAGAUGUGAAAGCCCCGGGCUCAACCUGGGAAUGGCAUUUUGAACUGGCAAGCUCGAGUUUUGAAGAGGGUGGUAGAAUUUCCUGUGUAGCGGUGAAAUGCGUAGAUAUAGGAAGGAAUACCAGUGGCGAAGGCGGCCACCUGGUCAAAAACUGACGCUGAGGUACGAAAGCGUGGGGAGCAAACAGG